GUGCCAGCAGCCGCGGUAAUACGUAGGUGGCAAGCGUUGUCCGGAUUUAUUGGGCGUAAAGCGAGCGCAGGCGGUUUCUUAAGUCUGAUGUGAAAGCCUUCGGCUCAACCGAAGAAGUGCAUCGGAAACUGGGAAACUUGAGUGCAGAAGAGGACAGUGGAACUCCAUGUGUAGCGGUGAAAUGCGUAGAUAUAUGGAAGAACACCAGUGGCGAAGGCGGCUGUCUGGUCUGUAACUGACGCUGAGGCUCGAAAGCAUGGGUAGCAAACAGGAUUAGAUACCCUGGUAGUCCAUGCCGUAAACGAUGAGUGCUAGGUGUUGGAGGGUUUCCGCCCUUCAGUGCCGCAGCUAACGCAUUAAGCACUCCGCCUGGGGAGUACGACCGCAAGGUUGAAACUCAAAGGAAUUGACGGGGGCCCGCACAAGCGGUGGAGCAUGUGGUUUAAUUCGAGGCAACGCGAAGAACCUUACCAGGUCUUGACAUCCUUUGACCACUCUAGAGAUAGAGCUUUCCCUUCGGGGACAAAGUGACAGGUGGUGCAUGGUUGUCGUCAGCUCGUGUCGUGAGAUGUUGGGUUAAGUCCCGCAACGAGCGCAACCCUUAUUACUAGUUGCCAGCAUUUAGUUGGGCACUCUAGUGAGACUGCCGGUGACAAACCGGAGGAAGGUGGGGACGACGUCAAAUCAUCAUGCCCCUUAUGACCUGGGCUACACACGUGCUACAAUGGAUGGUACAACGAGUUGCGAGACCGCGAGGUUUAGCUAAUCUCUUAAAACCAUUCUCAGUUCGGAUUGUAGGCUGCAACUCGCCUACAUGAAGCCGGAAUCGCUAGUAAUCGCGGAUCAGCAUGCCGCGGUGAAUACGUUCCCGGGCCUUGUACACACCGCCCGU
rnacentral:rRNA from 1 species